GACGAACGCUGGCGGCGUGCUUAACACAUGCAAGUCGAACGGAAAGGCCCUGCUUUUGUGGGGUGCUCGAGUGGCGAACGGGUGAGUAACACGUGAGUAACCUGCCCUUGACUUUGGGAUAACUUCAGGAAACUGGGGCUAAUACCGGAUAGGAGCUCCUGCUGCAUGGUGGGGGUUGGAAAGUUUCGGCGGUUGGGGAUGGACUCGCGGCUUAUCAGCUUGUUGGUGGGGUAGUGGCUUACCAAGGCUUUGACGGGUAGCCAGCCUGAGAGGGCGACCGGCCACAUUCGGACUGAGAUACGGCCCAGACUCCUACGGGAGGCAGCAGUGGGGAAUAUUGCACGAUGGGCGGAAGCCUGAUGCAGCAACGCCGCGUGCGGGAUGACGGCCUUCGGGUUGUAAACCGCUUUCGCCUGUGACGAAGCGUGAGUGACGGUAAUGGGUAAAGAAGCACCGGCUAACUACGUG
rnacentral:rRNA from 1 species